CACUAUGAGCGGUUGUCGCGUAUCCUAACGGGCUUUGCGACAGCCAUUGUUUUUAACCGACCUAUAUUUAGGAGAUCAAUAGUGGCCCGUAUAGCUGGCAUCAAUGUGCCUGAU
rfam:Succinatimonas sp. CAG:777 genomic scaffold, scf99